rnacentral:rRNA from 1 species
CAGCAGCCACGGUAAUACGAAGGGGGCUAGCGUUGCUCGGAAUCACUGGGCGUAAAGGGCGCGUAGGCGGCCGAUUAAGUCGGGGGUGAAAGCCUGUGGCUCAACCACAGAAUUGCCUUCGAUACUGGUUGGCUUGAGACCGGAAGAGGACAGCGGAACUGCGAGUGUAGAGGUGAAAUUCGUAGAUAUUCGCAAGAACACCAGUGGCGAAGGCGGCUGUCUGGUCCGGUUCUGACGCUGAGGCGCGAAAGCGUGGGGAGCAAACAGGAUUAGAUACCCCGGUAGUCCCUGUCUCUUAUAC